rnacentral:rRNA from 1 species
GAUUAACGCUGGCGGCGUGCCUAACACAUGCAAGUCGAACGAGGUAGCAAUACCUAGUGGCAGACGGGUGAGUAACGCGUGGUCAACCUACCGUUGAGUGGGGGAUAACUAGCCGAAAGGUUAGCUAAUACCGCAUACGUCUCCGAGGGGCAUCCCUUGGCGAUAAAAGGAGCAAUCCGCUCGAUGACGGGACCGCGUCCCAUUAGCUAGAUGGUGGGGUAACGGCCUACCAUGGCACCGAGGGUAGCUGGUUUGAGAGAGCGACCAGCCACACUGGGACUGAGAAACGGCCAGACUCCUACGGGAGGCAGCAGUGAGGAAUUUUCCGCAAUGGGCGCAAGCCUGACGGAGCGACGCCGCGUGUGGGAAGAAGGCCU